rnacentral:rRNA from 1 species
GUGGGGAAUAUUGGACAAUGGGCGAAAGCCUGAUCCAGCAAUGCCGCGUGAGUGAUGAAGGCCUUAGGGUUGUAAAGCUCUUUUACCCGGGAAGAUAAUGACUGUACCGGGAGAAUAAGCCCCGGCUAACUCCGUGCCAGCAGCCGCGGUAAUACGGAGGGGGCUAGCGUUGUUCGGAAUUACUGGGCGUAAAGCGCACGUAGGCGGUUUUGUAAGUUAGAGGUGAAAGCCUGGGGCUCAACCCCAGAAUUGCCUUUAAGACUGCAUCACUUGAACGUCGGAGAGGUGAGUGGAAUUCCGAGUGUAGAGGUGAAAUUCGUAGAUAUUCGGAAGAACACCAGUGGCGAAGGCGGCUCACUGGACGACUGUUGACGCUGAGGUGCGAAAGCGUGGGGAGCAAACAGGAUUAGAAACCCCUGUAGUCC